rnacentral:rRNA from 1 species
AUUGAACGCUGGCGGCAGGCCUAACACAUGCAAGUCGAACGAGUGGCGGACGGGUGAGUAAUGUCUGGGAAACUGCCCGAUGGAGGGGGAUAACUACUGGAAACGGUAGCUAAUACCGCAUACCAUCGGAUGUGCCCAGAUGGGAUUAGCUUGUAGGUGAGGUAACGGCUCACCUAGGCGACGAUCCCUAGCUGGUCUGAGAGGAUGACCAGCCACAGUGGAGCUGAGCCACGGUCCAGAUGCCUACGGGAGGCAGCAGUGGGGUAUAUGGCACAAUGGGCGCAAGCCUGAUGCAGCCAUGCCGCGUGUAUGAAGAAGGCCUUCUGUUUGUAAAGUACUUUCAGCGGGGAGGCGUUACCCGCAGAAUAAGCACCGGCUAACUCCGUGCCAGCAGCCGCGGUAAUUC